UACGUAGGGUGCAGGCGUUAAUCGGAAUUACUGGGCGUAAAGCGUGCGCAGGCGGUUCGUUGUGUCGGUGGUGAAAGCCCCGGGCUCAACCUGGGAAUGGCCAUGGAAACUGGCGAACUGGAGUGUGGCAGAGGGGGGUGGAAUUCCGCGUGUAGCAGUGAAAUGCGUAGAGAUGCGGAGGAACACCGAUGGCGAAGGCAGCCCCCUGGGCUAGCACUGACGCUCAGGCACGAAAGCGUGGGGAGCAAACAGG
rnacentral:rRNA from 1 species